GUGGGAUUGCUGGAUGAAAUAGUAGAUCUGCUUUUAGUUAUUUGAGAAAUCUCCAUACUGUUUUCCACAGAGGCUGUACUGAUUUGCAUUCCUACCAGCAGCGUGCACCUAUUCAUUCUUCAAGAUUUAGCUAAUGUGCUUCUUCCUCUGAGCAGGCAAUCUGAGGCUUGUUCACAAGCACCCUUGUUAAAAUUUCAGAGAGAGAGAUAGACAGAGAGAGAGAGAGAGGAUAAGUCUGGGGAGGCAUUAUGUGGAUGUCAGAGAGCUGGGAUAAGAAAAGAGAUGAAGCCUGGGGAAGCCUGCAUCAAGUCAAUGGAAUGAGCCUGGGUGAAGAAAUGGAGGAAUUAUUUGAUAUCAAAGUGUAAAGGGG